GACAGAGGUGCCGAGCGUUAUGCGGAAUCACUGGGCUUAAAGCGUGUGUAGGCGGGCGGGCAAGUACCUUGUGAAAUCCCACGGCUCAACCGUGGAACGGCUGGGUAUACUGCCUGUCUUGAGCCAACUAGGGGCGAGCGGAACAGACGGUGGAGCGGUGAAAUGCGUAGAUAUCGUCUGGAACGCCAAAGGUGAAAACAGCUCGCUGGGGUUGUGCUGACGCUGAGACACGAAAGCCAGGGGAGCGAACGGG
rnacentral:rRNA from 1 species